GAUCUCACUCACUUUGUACUUAGCCGACCUCCCUCCCUCCCUCUGAAAACAACUCUCAAAACUCCUAGGAAAUUUCAUCAGUGGCGCACGAGCAGAUCCUCCUGGGGAUGGGCAAUCCUCUUCUCGACAUCUCUGCCGUCGUCGACGAAGAAUUCUUGACAAAGACUUCACCCCGAAUCAAUCUUUUGACCCCCAGCACUCUUGUUUGAAGAGAUUGUAGUCGCGGUCUGUUAUAUGAGGGUUUUGUAAUUUAGAAAUAGCAAGCCUCUCAUGAAUGUAGCUGAAAUGAAGGUUUAACAUAAGUAAGAAAGGAAUCUAAGGUUUAUGCAUUUCUAGGAAGCUAAGUAGUAAAAGAAAGUACCACAAAAUGGUUUUGGUUUAGUGCCAAAAGUUAAUUGCAAGUGCAUAGUCAAAGCAAAAUACCCUGGUCAACCUGUCGAAACCUGUACCUAAUACUGCUUAGCCAAAAUCUGAUUCGGUCAUAGAAUCAUUGCAGUUAAAUAGGAGUAAACAAAACGCAGAGAAGAAUUCACCAUUCCGAAGUUCACACAA